rnacentral:lncRNA from 1 species
AUGUUAUUAGCUUUGAUUUUCUUUACUCCGUCAAAGAACAAGUUUUGGCAAAUUGUAUUUCCUUUAGUGUGAAAUCUAAGCUUUUGUUUUAAUUAAUUUAGUUCUUUGAAUUUGUUUGCUUCUUGGUUGGUUAUAUAUGCAAUUGUUGUUUGUUUUCUUUUCUUUGAUGUCCUUGUUCUAAAUUGACGUUUGAGGAAAAGUUGGGUAUAAAGUUGUUUAUUUGUUCUAGUUAGAAUUAAUAGUGAUUAGCUGUAGUAUUUUUGAUUGUUUAGCACGCACCAUCUUGUAAAGCUAUUUUGCGACAGGUUGUCGAUUAUACUUUGAAAAGUAGUUUAAUUCACCAUUCUAACUUAGACAAAAGAGAAGUAGAGAACCUGUUAUUUCUUUCCCUUUAUUUGAUCUUUAUGUUCUGCUUGUGGUCUUGCAAUUAUCUAUGUUGAGAGCUUUUUGAGAAUAUACAUUCCUGUUAUAUUUGUGAACCGUGUUAGUCUUAUUAGAAGCUUCAGUUCGUUAAUGUCACUUACAUCGGAUUCGUUCUUUUCUUCCUGAUUUUGUUGUUGGGUCUUAAGGGUCUCGGCUUAUGGCUUCCGGUGGUUAGUAGUGAAAUCAGAUCUCUGAAAUGCGAUGCUUUUGUGUACUUGUUCAUCUGUAAGGAGUACGAAAUAGUUCCAGUCUUGAUUAGUUUCAGUCUUGCUUUUGUG